CGAACGCUGGCGGCGUGCUUAACACAUGCAAGUCGAACGCGAAAGGGACUUCGGUCCUGAGUAAAGUGGCGCACGGGUGAGUAACGCGUAGAUAACCUGUCUUCAUGUCUGGAAUAAUACGCCGAAAGGGGUACUAAUACCGGAUAUUCUUGCUUUUCAUAAGUUAUGCAAGCAAAGGUGGCCUCUGCAUAUGCUACUGCAUGAAGAGGGGUCUGCGUACCAUUAGCUAGUAGGUGGGGUAAUGGCCUACCUAGGCGACGAUGGUUAGCGGGUCUGAGAGGAUGAUCCGCCACGCUGGCACUGGAACACGGGCCAGACUCCUACGGGAGGCAGCAGUGAGGAAUAUUGCGCAAGUGGGGGAAACCCUGACGCAGCGACGCCGCGUGAGUGAGGAAGGCCUUCGGGUCGUAAAGCUCUGUCAAGAGGAAAGAAGUGUACAAUGGCUAAUACCUGUUGUAUUUGACGGUACCUCUAAAGGAAGCACCGGCUAACUCCGUGCCAGCCGCGGC
rnacentral:rRNA from 1 species